UACAGAGGUCCCAAGCGUUGUUCGGAUUCACUGGGCGUAAAGGGUGCGUAGGUGGCUUGGUAAGUUUGAUGUGAAAUCUCCGGGCUUAACCCGGAAAUGGCAUUGAAUACUAUUGAGCUGGAGGUUUGGAGGGGGGACUGGAAUUCUCGGUGUAGCAGUGAAAUGCGUAGAUAUCGAGAGGAACACCAGUGGCGAAGGCGAGUCCCUGGACAACACCUGACACUGAGGCACGAAAGCUAGGGGGAGCAAAACAGG
rnacentral:rRNA from 1 species